rnacentral:rRNA from 1 species
CCUACGGGAGGCAGCAGUGAGGAAUAUUGGUCAAUGGUCGAAAGACUGAACCAGCCAAGUAGCGUGAAGGAUGACGGCCCUAUGGGUUGUAAACUUCUUUUAUGCGGGGAUAAAACGAGGCACGUGUGCCUUUUUGCAUGUACUUUAUGAAUAAGGAUCGGCUAACUCCGUGCCAGCAGCCGCGGUAAUACGGAGGCUCCGAGCGUUAUCCGGAUUUAUUGGGUUUAAAGGGAGCGUAGAUGGGUUGUUAAGUCAGUUGUGAAAGUCUGCGGCUCAACCGUAGAAUUGCAAUGGAUACUGGCAGGCUUGAGUACAGGUGAGGUAGGCGGAAUUCGUGGUGUAGCGGUGAAAUGCUUAGAUAUCACGAAGAACUCCGAUUGCGAAGGCAGCAUACGAAACUGCGACUGACGCUGAAGCUCGAAAGCGUGGGUAUCAAACAGGAUUAGAUACCCUUGUAGUC